rnacentral:rRNA from 1 species
UUUCCCUCUUUCUUCCUGCUUUACACCUGCAAGUCGAACGGCAGCGCGGGCUUCGGCCUGGCGGCGAGUGGCGAACGGGUGAGUAAUACAUCGGAACGUGCCCAGUAGUGGGGGAUAGCUCGGCGAAAGCCGGAUUAAUACCGCAUACGACCUGAGGGUGAAAGCGGGGGAUCUUCGGACCUCGCGCUAUUGGAGCGGCCGAUGGCAGAUUAGCUAGUUGGUGGGGUAAAGGCCUACCAAGGCGACGAUCUGUAGCUGGUCUGAGAGGACGACCAGCCACACUGGGACUGAGACACGGCCCAGACUCCUACGGGAGGCAGCAGUGGGGAAUUUUGGACAAUGGGCGAAAGCCUGAUCCAGCAAUGCCGCGUGUGUGAUGAAGGCCUUCGGGUUGUAAAGCACUUUUGGCGGGAACGAAAAGGACUGUGCCAAUACCACGGUUCGAUGACGGUACCCGCAGAAUAAGCACCGGCUAACUACGUG